rnacentral:misc_RNA from 1 species
GAUGAAGAACGCAGCAAAAUGCGAUAAGUAAUGUGAAUUGCAGAAUUCAGUGAAUCAUCGAAUCUUUGAACGCACCUUGCGCUCCUUGGUAUUCCGAGGAGCAUGCCUGUUUGAGUGUCAUGAAAUUCUCAACCUUUUCAGCUUUCUUUGUUGAUCAGGCUUGGAUGUGGGAGUAUGCGGGCUUCUCAGAAGUCGGCUCUCCUGAAAUGCAUUAGCGGGACCUUUGUUGCCUGGCUUUGGUGUGAUAAUUAUCUACGCCAUUGUGGUCAAGCAGCUUAAAAUGAGGUUUCAGCUUCUAACCGUCUCCCCUGAGACAACUUUUUGACAAUUUGACCUCAAAUCAGGUAGGACUACCCGCUGAACUUAAGCAUAUCAAUAAGCGGAGGA